ACAUUAGCGUCGCAACCACCCGCCUGCAGCCACUUGACGUCACAGCGUCGCGUGCCUCUACCACUUCGAAAUGGACGACCGUCGCGGCAGUAACAAAACCGACGCCAAGAUCGACGCUUCGCCACAAACGGCCCUGUGCUCUAACGACGGAAAGUUUCAUAUAUUCGGACAAAUCGUCGCACUAUCAUGACCUAAAGUUCGCAAAUCACAUUUUUCUUCAUCUAGUUAGCUAUGCGAAGAACGUAACGCUGUCCGAAAUUCAAUUGUUCCGAAGAAGUAACGUAACGCGUUCACGGCCAACUUUCAUCGAAUAAUUAUCUAAUUUGUUGAUUAUGCCAUAAGUUGUCGCUGUAAUUGGAUCAUACAGUCAUGAAAUAGCGCAUUUGUUUCAAGUCAUCAUGUUGAAGAAGAGGAGGAUUUGCUGAUGGAAUCCCAAUAGAAACCAGCCACCGAUCAAGUUUGUGAACUUUUGUUUCAAUUUUUUGCGAUAACAAUUGAAGAUGAACCACUCGACGCUGUACGGAAUGGUCGAAAAAACGUUAAGAAUGGAGCUCGAACGCAACAUCAGGUCGCCUGGCAAUAAGGGUCAUGUACCGGGGUCGUCUAAUAAGAGCACUUCAGCAUCGAACACUAACCAAGGAUAUGCGACGCUUAUUGUAAUGUUAGCGGUGCUAACCAUCAUUGUUCUGUUUUGCUGUUUUUCGGCUCCGGGAAUCCGAAAUCUUUGCAAGAGGUACAUAUUCAGGUCGUGUCCGUACGAUGAUCCAGAAGUAGAUAAUGAAAAACCGAUUUUUUGCAGUGUAUACUAGAGGAUAUUACUCACAGACUGACCUGACGGGCGUCAUUACCAUCCCCCCAAAAAAUGAAGAGGUAAAAAGGUAGUACGCCCAUCCCAGAAAGCUCAACGCCCACAGUAAUCCUGCUUCCAUACGGCAGAAUGCUGGUAGUGGAUCGUUCCAUUUUCAGUCAGCUGCAGGCCGAUCAGUCCGGAAUCGAUCUGCUGGAGCUGAGCGCCAAUCUGAUCCGCAACCAAAGCGACACUGUGCGACUCACAUGCAGCACUCCCAGUAUUCUAGAUAGCGACACCACGUCCAAAGGCUUAAGCCCCACUUCGUUGGGCUUCGGGCCUCCGGCCUACGAAGAUAUCUUCGGUUUGAGGGAACUCGAUCUGCCUCCUUCCUACAGUGAAGUGAGUCUAUUGCUGCUGAACAACCUGCGGAAUGGCGAGUGCAUUGAGCUGGAGGAAGUGCAAGUUCAGCCGCAAAAGACUACGGAGAAUGGUGCGAAUGGAGACUGUACUAGAGAGAGUGGAACUAGUCUUUAAGGUGCUUGUUUCAACUGUGUUAGCUCGACUUGAAGAUUUUCUUUCACAGUCAUGGUUUUGGUGGAAAAACUAGCGCAGCGAUUUUCUUUAGCUUCUAUGUAGAGGCUCUUCGUUUCAAGACAAUUUCUAAACUGGAGCUACUUGUACAUACCAAACUCUAAUUGAGCUUAGUACGUUUUAUCCAACGGUUCCAUGUUUUCAAAGAACAAGUUCAGACUCAACUAUUUUUGGUUAAAAACUUUUAUGCUUUCAAUACAUAUAUUAAGCUGAAUUAUUCUAUUGCAUUUUGCGCACUUUUUCAUCUACAAAGUACGUUUCAAACGGCACAGACUCCCCUUCCCAUCACUUGCACUUUUGUUACAGUUUUGGUCUUGAAAGUAAAUAAGUUACUAAUAAACGAACAGUCCUGCCGACUGCGUCCCAACGCACUUCCACAUUCAGAUCGUUAGUCCUGCAAAAUAUCAAAUAAUCAUGGAUUAUUCAAUUUUCUAAUAUCAUCAAGCGCUCAAUUGAAGCUCCGUUUUGUGCUAGAUCUACCCGCGUCGUGCUGUAUAGUGUGUUUGGCAAAAAUCAACGAAACAGAGUGAAAUCUUGGAAAACAGUUCAGCGACUGAUGUGUUUGUAACAGUAUCAUUACUAAAUAUAUAAAGACAGAAAGACAGUGAUAUUUUAAUAGUAGAAAAUGUUUUGUAUUAUAACGUUAGAUAGGAGGAAUAUUGGACAAUAAAUGUUAACUUCUUGUA